CUCGCAUCGAUGAAGAACGCAGCGAAAUGCGAUACGUAAUGUGAAUUGCAGAAUUCCGUGAAUCAUUGAAUCUUUGAACGCACCUUGCACCCCUUGGUAGUCCGAGGGGCAUGCCUGUUUGAGUGUCGUUGAUCUUUCUCUUGUCAACUUGACCUGCCACUCUUGUGGUUGGUUGGGCUUGGAAACUGGAGUGUGCCGGCAAGGUUCGGCUCCUCUAAAAGUCAUUGGCGAACAACUGGUUUUGUGCUGUGGCAUUGAUAGUCCCUCCGAUCUUCUAUGCCUUGCCCACAAUGGUCAGUGUUUGCAUAAUGAUCAUCCCUCGGGAGAUCACUUUCUCUCCAACAAUCACCUCAAAUCAGGUAGGAUUACCCGCUGAACUUAAGCAUAUCAAUAAGCGGAGGAAAAGAAACUAACAAGGAUUCCCCUAGUAACUGCGAGUGAAGAGGGAAAAGCUCAAA
rnacentral:rRNA from 1 species